UCUGCAGGCCGAUGCUCUAUCCACUGAGCAAAACCGGUUAGGGCAAUAUUUGGUUGUUUUUAAUAAAGGUGGUACAAACAUUUCUGUAUAAUUCUUUAUAUGGAUAUAAAUGUUAUUUACCUUCCUCAGAGGGACAUCUCCCACAGGAUCCCGGACUGUGAGAGAGCACAGGACGGACUGAGGGAUCCCACCUGAGUGUAUAAAUUUCAUGCCCAAGGCCUCUAUUUUAAACAAAUGAACCAGAAUAUCACGGUUCCAUUCACAGUCAAGGAGGAUUCCUGAGCCCCGCGUAGAUCUGCAGUGUGGGAUAUGCAGGAGGUAGCUGAUGAAUGAUUCUGUCUCAGCAUUGAUUUUUUUUCUCUAUCUAUCUACUUUGAACUCCAGCAUCUCCCUGCAGAGACCUUCCCAGGCCAGGCAAUGCUCACAAGGACAUUUGUCUUUGGGUGCAUUUUAGUGAGACAUGGGACCUAUAAGAAGCUACUGACUCUCCUGCUGGGCGGCAGGUACUGUGGGCACUCAGGUGUCAUUGUGCUGGGCCCCACCGAGGAAUGUCCAGCAGACUUCCUAGAGCUCCCUGAGUGUCAGUUGUCUGAAUGUGACAUUCAGAUGAUUGAUGGUGUAGAGGUCAAGUGGAAUUAAGUUAAUUAGAAGAGGACAUUCUGCCAGGAAAAGGAAGCCCUCUGCUUCUCCGUAUCCUGUCGCCUGGCUCAUCUCAGCGUCACCGUUGACAAAUAACAUCAACAGAUGGCGCUUGCUUUGGCCUUCCAACAUCAAUAAAAGUACCAGGCUGAGUACUUGUUGCCAGGAUUUUAAGGUUAGAUUUUUGACCAUUUUCUUUGUUAAUGCUCACAAGAACCUGGGUAAGUGGAAACUCAUAUCAAAUUGCUGAAAAAAUUCAGUAACUGAGAAAUGAAGUCAGCUCCCCAAGUUUAUACCACAGACAAGUGUCAGAUUGAAGGGGCUGGAUUUCAACCAUUAUUAUCUCCAGCGUCAGACACAGUCUCUACCACUGAUGUGCAGCCCUCCCUGGAGCAGGUACAGUAUGAGGACCAGGGUGGCUCAGCUGCAGCUCCUGUUUCCAUGGUUGCAGUUAUUCGUUUCCUCCUGUUCCCUUUACAUCUCAGAGCACUUCCCUUGACUUUCUGUGUUGAGGGCAACGCCACCAUCUGUCAUUCUGAGAGUUCGGAAAAGCAGCUGCUUCAGGUGCAAGCAGAUGCUCAGGCCCUUCCCGCCUCUGACGGCUCUGCUGCAGCAGUUCCCGGGGGUGACCUGAGCCAGGACCUGGUUGCACGCGGGGGGAAUGUUUCAACCACGGCCUGUGCCCUUCCCGCCUCUGACGGCUCUGCUGCAACAGUUCCCAGGGGUGACCUGAGCCAGGACCUGGUUGCACGCGGGGGGAAUGUUUCAACCACGGCCUGUGUUCAUUCCUACGUUAACAUGAUCCCUUUUCGUUUCCUUUGCUGCUCUGGAAAGCAAUGCUGUCCAGGCCGGUGCCAAGGCUAAGGUGCCCAGAGAAGGUGCGUUCAGGCAGGUCCCCCCACAGCCCCUGGGUCUCCUGCCUGGCAUGGCCUACUCAGGCCGCCUGCUCUAAGAGGAAGGGUCCUCCUGCCUAUAGACUCCUAUCCAAUGCCAAGCACAAGGCUCCUCAGUGGCCCCGCCCAGACCCAUCCUGUGCUGAGAGGAAGGAGCAGCUCCAGGAGGGACCCUUGCUCUGAGCACAGGCCCCUCCUGACCCUGAGCUCUGAGAACUGGAAGUGUUUAACUUGGAUUGAGGAGCAUUGAAAGCUUCAUUUAUUUAUAGCUUGUCUAAAAACAGUGUUGAUAAGAAAUCUUUGGUUAUUCAUGCAAAUGCUGAGUUGAUGGGAGACAAGUCAUAAUCUAAUUGUUUUUGUCGAGGUUAAGAGUGAAUGUUGCUGAUGAAAUCAACGUGAAAAGGAGAAAGAAAAAUAAAAGGAAAUGCUCAAA